CUGCCCACUCCUCCGACCUCCCUCCUCCCCGCUCCUCCGACCCAACCCACUCCCCCCUUCCUCCAACCCUCCCCACUCCUCUGAUGUUCCACAUUCUUCUGUUCCUCUGACUCCCCACAUUCCUAUUCAUCCGCUUCUCCCCGUUCCCCAGACCCUCCCCAUUCCCAGUUCUUCUGCCGCUCCAUUCCUUGCUUCCAUGCUGCCCUAUCCUCCUCGUUGGCCUCUCACUUUACCCGUCCCUCCCCCUCAGUCCCUUCCCUACCCCUCACUGACUCUGCUCCCGCCCCAGCCGUAUUCCAUGACGUGUGAGCAGCUUGUGAAUCUUUGCUCCUGAGGUAUUGCCGCUGAGCCCAGUCCACAGAGAGCCCUGAGGGGAGCUGGCAUGUGGCCACUUUUACUGGAGGUUACCUGCAGCAAUCUGGAGAAAUCCCAAACAUUUGACCACACAGAAAGAAUUGGAAAGUGGAACCACAGCUCAGAUGAUCAUUACCUAAAAAAUGUACAUUCACUUUUCACUUUUUAAAACUAGAAGGGAGGGUGGGGCUGGAAUUUCAAAAUCCAUUUGUGGGCUUCCUCUAAGAGAAAAUUGUGGUAAAAAAAAACCCGUUUACUCUUCAAACACAGAAUACCAUAUUGGUCAAAGGGCAAAUGAUUAGUUCCUAUCUACAACUCUGGUUGGCCCUGUGUGUUGUUUAUCAUUGUCUUCUAGUUUAGGGGGUGGCACUUAACAGAGAGCUGGCUUUUAUAUUCUUGUCUUUUUCAGAAAUCCAGCUGCCCUAAUAAAUUCAACUAUUCUAGCAAUCAACUGCUCACACCUAUAUCUUAGUUAUUGGAGAUCCUUUUAAUCCUCUUGGUGUUAUAUUUGACCCAUCGAGCCCCAGGGAUAGUUGGCAGGGUGAAAAUAGACCACCCCACCCUGAUCAAGCAAUGCAGGGGACUCUUGGUGUCUAACAGCUAAAUGCGUGUGGAUAAUGGCUACAGGUUAAGGGUAAGCCUCUUUGCUCACUUUAUCUAGUACUGACUGGCAGCCUCACUCUCCCUCUCUCUCCUGCAUUGCCACAGUCACAGUCUGAAAUUAUUUCACUGAGCCCCACGAUUGUGCAAAUCAAACGCUGCUCAGUAUCUGUGAGAUUAGUAUCUGGCCUUUUGCAAUUUGAACUCCUGUGAAUUGGAAGAAUUAUCAAGAGGUAUUGGGAGAAGAUGUCAAUGGGCUUUAUUUUGGUGAGAGGCUGCAGUGAAGCUGUCAGGCUGACUACACCUGGUAAUGUGAAGAGUGAACUGUCGAGAGCAUGGUGGCACAAUAGCAAGUGCGUGCACACUGAGGUUCUGUCACAAUGUCCUGUGACGUUAUGAAUUCUCUGUAUAGAAUCUAGUCAACAUGAAUGGGAUGCAGGGCUGGACUCUCAGUGAAUGGUGCAUUUUGAAACAGUGCAUUUGCUCUUCCGUUGGGUUUAAAUAGUGCAUUAGAGCAAACAGUCUAACAGUUUGACCAAACAAUCCACACUUUAACCAGUUACGGCUGUUUGACCAUUUAAAUACCAGAACUCAAGCAGCCGCAGUUGCUUAACUGUGGGAUAAGCUCUUCAGCAAGGGCAAGGAGUGGAGGCACGUUACAUGAUACCAAUAAUAGAUUCAAGAACAAGCCUAGCCACUUAAUAGAUGACAUUGUGUGUAAGAGGAACUGCAGAUACUGGUUUAAACCAAAGAUAGACGCAAAAAGCUGGAUUACAACAGCUUGUUGUGUCUAUAAAAGAUGGAUGACAUUAAUGGAUACAGGAAUCGCUAAAUAAUUUUCCCUUUGACAAGGACUAAUGGUAUCACUAUCUGUCAUGCAGUAAUAUGUGCCAGAGUUUUCAUUUAACAAAGAAAAUAUUGAAUUGUCCCCUCAGUGUUUUGGUUUUGGUAACAUCAGCAAACACAAGGCCUUUUGUUGUAUGUAUUUUUUCUGAAAGUCAUAAUUUGUUUUCUUUUGUAAAGAUUAUUAUUCAGUAUCAUUUCUGAUUUCAUACGCCAAGUAUUUGGAUUGUCUUUUUUUAAGAUUAAACUUUCUAGUUGUGAAUUUUUUGUUUUAAUUUUUGCUUCCCAACUUUAAUGUUUUUAUUUAAUAAAUGGAUAUUUCUA